rnacentral:rRNA from 1 species
UACGGGGGGAGCAAGCGUUGUUCGGAUUUACUGGGCGUAAAGCGCGUGUAGGCGGCUUGGCAAGUCGGGUGUGAAAGCCCUGGGCUUAACCUAGGAAGUGCACUCGAAACUGCCGAGCUUGAGUUCUGGAGAGGAAGGCGGAAUUCUCGGUGUAGAGGUGAAAUUCGUAGAUAUCGAGAGGAACACCGGUGGCGAAGGCGGCCUUCUGGACAGCAACUGACGCUGAGACGCGAAAGCGUGGGGAGCAAACAGG